rnacentral:sRNA from 10 species
UUGGUUCCCACAUCAAGAGUUAUUCUCUGUUCUUUCCUUUUUCUUUUCGCCUUUCUUCUCAUGGGUUUCUUCGCCUUUUAGGUGUUUCUAAAUGCUACAGCUUGCUUUCCAACUGUUCCUAGUGGUGGAACUAGUGUGUAUAGUCUUCUGCACCAACAUUUUCUUAAGUGUUGAAGUCGGUGGAGUCGACUUUGUAGAGUGAAUCUCAUUACCAGCCCUGACUCAUUCAAGUUGAGCUGAUUAAUUAGUAGCUACGACUUCAUCACUAUUACUAGGACUAUCGGAGUUGUCUUUGACGGGCAAUCCAUUCUGAAGGGCUCCUGAGGUCAUAAAAGCUGUCAUGCAGAAAGAUGCCAACCCAAAUCUUGCUCUGGCUGUUGACAUAUGGAGUCUGGGUUGUACCAUCAUUGAGAUGUUUAAUGGUAAAUCUCCUUUGAGUGAGCUUGAAAGGGUAAACCCGUGUUUAAACUCUCAUUUGAUCAAGCCUAUGCUCAAACUUUGCCUUUUCAUUUAUUGUAGAUUGGAUUCUUAAAAAUUCUGAGAAUGUUUUGUGUAAACGUUUAUACAAAGGGUUUUAUACUAAUGUUUACAAUAUUCAAAUGUCAAAAAAUAUCACUUAAAUAUUGUG